CGGGCGGGUGCUAACACAUGCAGUCGAACGAUGAACCACUUCGGUGGGGAUUAGUGGCGAACGGGUGAGUAACACGUGGGCAAUCUGCCCUGCACUCUGGGACAAGCCCUGGAAACGGGGUCUAAUACCGGAUACUGAUUGUCUUGGGCAUCCUUGAUGAUCGAAAGCUCCGGCGGUGCAGGAUGAGCCCGCGGCCUAUCAGCUUGUUGGUGAGGUAACGGCUCACCAAGGCGACGACGGGUAGCCGGCCUGAGAGGGCGACCGGCCACACUGGGACUGAGACACGGCCCAGACUCCUACGGGAGGCAGCAGUGGGGAAUAUUGCACAAUGGGCGCAAGCCUGAUGCAGCGACGCCGCGUGAGGGAUGACGGCCUUCGGGUUGUAAACCUCUUUCAGCAGGGAAGAAGCGAAAGUGACGGUACCUGCAGAAGAAGCGCCGGCUAACUACGUGCCAGCAGCCGCGGUAAUACGUAGGGCGCAAGCGUUGUCCGGAAUUAUUGGGCGUAAAGAGCUCGUAGGCGGCUUGUCGCGUCGGUUGUGAAAGCCCGGGGGCUUAACCCCGGGUCUGCAGUCGAUACGGGCAGGCUAGAGUUCGGUAGGGGAGAUCGGAAUUCCUGGUGUAGCGGUGAAAUGCGCAGAUAUCAGGAGGAACACCGGUGGCGAAGGCGGAUCUCUGGGCCGAUACUGACGCUGAGGAGCGAAAGCGUGGGAGCGACAGGAUUAGAUACCCUGGUAGUCCACGCCGUAACGUGGGCACUAGGUGUGGGCACAUUCCACGUGGUCGUGCGGCAGCUACGCAUAGUGCCCGCUGGAGUACGG
rnacentral:rRNA from 1 species